UCUAUAUGAUUAUUGAUUUCGAAAUUUUAUUUUUGCCCUAAAAAUAUUUUAAUAGAAAACUAUAGAAGGAACCACAAAGCACACAAAGCACAUAGGCGUACAGCAUAAUAAAGAGCGUAAUUGAUAAAAAAAAGGCCCCAUAUUUACAAGUCAUACUCUUGUACCAAACAGCUUCUUUACCCCUAAUCUUUUUAUCGCUUAUCGUUAAGAAGACAAGGCGAAGAUAACCCUAACUUCUUAGGUCAUGUCUGGGAUGUACGGUCAAGACGGCGAAUCUGCUCCUCCAUCUUAUGGUGGUUAUGGAGGUGGCAGCGGUGGUGGUUUUGGUGGUGGCGGCGGCGGCGGAGGUGGAGGAUAUGGAGGGGCGAGUGGUGGAGUCGGCCGUGGAAGUUAUGGCGGUAGAGGAGGCGGCGGCAGAGGAUAUGGUGGUGGUGGUGGAGGAUAUCAAGGAGGAGAUCGUGGAGGAAGAGGCGGUGGAGGUGGUGGCAGAGGAGGUGGCCGAGGUGGGAGCGGAAGGGACGGUGAUUGGCUGUGCCCUAAUCCAAGCUGUGGCAAUUUGAACUUUGCAAGAAGAGUCGAGUGUAACAAAUGCGGCACUCCGUCCCCUGCUGGUGCCAACAAUGAUCGUGGAAAUGGUGCUGGAGGAGGUUUUAACAAAGGAGGUAGUGGUGGAGGAUAUGGUGGUAACAGAGGGGGCAGAGGUGGUAAUUAUGAUGGUAAUAGAAGCAACAAUUACAAUGAUGGAGGCAGAGGUGGUAAUUAUGACAAUAGGAGUGGAGGUGGCAGCAGGGGGGCCUCUUAUGGUGGUAAUCAUGGAGGAGACAAUGGUGCUUAUAGCCAGAUACCUCCUGCACCCCCGUCUUAUGGUAGUGCUAGUGGUAAUUAUCCACCACCACCUAACUCAUAUGGUGGCAAUGCAAAUUAUGGAAUGGAAGCAGUUCCUCCUCCUACAAGCUACAAUGAUGGACCUUCAUCUUACCCACCAUCUUAUGGUGGUUCUGUGAGUGGUUAUGGUGGUGAUGCUCCAGCUGAUGCGAGGACUGGUGGGCGUGGUGGUCAGCCUGGUGGGUAUGGUAUUGGUGGUCCUCGGUAUGAGGGAGGAGGUGGGUACAGUGGUGUUGUCACUGAUGGCCCAGCUAAAAUUAAGCAGUGUGAUGAAAAUUGUGAUGAUACUUGUGACAACUCUAGAAUAUACAUUUCAAAUUUGCCCCCAGAUGUGUCUACUGAAGAAUUAAGAGAACUCUUUGGCGGCAUUGGUCAAGUUGGAAGGAUUAAGCAGAAGCGGGGCUAUAAAGAUCAGUGGCCCUGGAAUAUAAAACUAUACACAGAUGAGAAGGGAAACAACAAAGGCGAUGCAGUUCUGUCUUAUGAAGAUCCAUCUGCUGCUCAUUCUGCUGGCGGUUUUUAUAACAAUUAUGAUAUGAGAGGUUAUAAAAUCAGUGUUGCAAUGGCAGAAAAGUCUGCACCAAGGUCUCAACCUUCAUAUGACCAUGGAGGUGGUGGUAGAGGUGGCUAUGGGGGGGCUGAUCGGCGUCGGAAUAGUUACAAAGAUGGAGGCUCUGGCCCAGAUAGGCAUUACCAUGGUGGAAACCGUUCGCGUCCAUACUGAGAAUUUCAGCUCUGAGCUUUUUAUGUACUAAGAAUUGUGAUGCGAGGGAUUUAAUUAUGUUCCAUUUCCUGGGGGGGUUCUUAAACUGGAGACUAAGAGGUAGGUGUUCACUUACACUGAGCAAUACCCCUUUUUCUCCUUUUUCUGUUUUCUUUGGGGUUUCUGUUUUAGGCGUGGGAUUGAUUUUAAUUGUGUGAAUGUUUUUAUAGAGGCAAGUGGAUUAACUCCAAAUUUCUUGCUGCUAAGGUAGGUUGAUAUUUUCAGUCUAAUGGACAACGAUUGCAUGGACAGCUAGGGAGAAAUGUUUGUGGACAGCCACUGAUAUCGGAGGAACAGGUGGUGGUGAUAGACGGCCAGUGUCCCUCUCUCUCUUCUCCCAUUUAAUUUUUGCAUUGUUGGAUGAAAAGGGACAGUAGCUCUGUUUUCUGGAUCCUUGUGGGUUCUUAUGUUAUUUUUCCCGUUUUUGUUCUUUUUAAUUUUAGAGAUUUAUUCUAUUACUAAAUAAAGGGUAAAUUAGUCUUUUCACUUCAAA